UUUUUUUUUCCAGAAAAGGAUUUUUUUUUAUUCAAGUAACUGCAAAUAGGAAACCAGAGGGGGAGCCCCAGGCUGGGACAAAUCAUGGUCACCCCUCCCCAACAGAACAGGGGGAGGAGGUGGCCCCUACGCCCUUUAUGGUUGAUUCGGGACCCCUUGCUCACUCUGCUGCAGCAUCCUAGGGGCAGGGCCCCACCUUCCCUGGGACUGGGGUAGGCGGUCACCCAGCCUGCCAUGCCCCAGCCCCUCUUCCCUACAAAGAGUAUCUUGCGGGAGGGGAUCGUGGGCAGAACAGGAGGGCAUGUGUGUAUGCGUGGGUGGGCGGGGGGAGCUGGGAACUGAGGCCAG
rnacentral:lncRNA from 10 species